UACGUAGGGGGCAAGCGUUGUCCGGAAUCAUUGGGCGUAAAGAGCGUGUAGGCGGCCCGGUAAGUCCGCUGUGAAAGUCGAGGGCUCAACCCUCGAAUGCCGGCGGAUACUGCCGGGCUAGAGUCCGGAAGAGGCGAGUGGAAUUCCUGGUGUAGCGGUGAAAUGCGCAGAUAUCAGGAGGAACACCAACGGCGAAGGCAGCUCGCUGGGACGGUACUGACGCUGAGACGCGAAAGCGUGGGGAGCAAACAGG
rnacentral:rRNA from 1 species